rnacentral:rRNA from 1 species
UACGAAGGGGGCUAGCGUUGCUCGGAAUCACUGGGCGUAAAGGGUGCGUAGGCGGGUCUUUAAGUCAGGGGUGAAAUCCUGGAGCUCAACCCCAGAACUGCCUUUGAUACUGAGGAUCUUGAGUUCGGGAGAGGUGAGUGGAACUGCGAGUGUAGAGGUGAAAUUCGUAGAUAUUCGCAAGAACACCAGUGGCGAAGGCGGCUCACUGGCCCGAUACUGACGCUGAGACGCGAAAGCGUGGGGAGCAAACAGG